rnacentral:rRNA from 1 species
AGAGUUUGAUCAUGGCUCAGGACGAACGCUGGCGGCGUGCUUAACACAUGCAAGUCGAGCGAGGCCCAACCGGUGGCAACACCGGGGAAGGUCGAGCGGCGAACGGGUGAGUAACACGUGAGCAACCUGCCCCGAAGACCGGGAUAACAUCGGGAAACCGGUGCUAAUACCGGAUGUCCCCACCAGGCCGCAUGACCAGGUGAGGAAAUGGAUUCCGCUUCGGGAGGGGCUCGCGGGCUAUCAGCUUGUUGGUGGGGUAACGGCCUACCAAGGCGACGACGGCUAGCUGGUCUGAGAGGACGACCAGCCACACUGGGACUGAGACACGGCCCAGACUCCUACGGGAGGCAGCAGUGGGGAAUCUUGCGCAAUGGGCGAAAGCCUGACGCAGCAACGCCGCGUGGGGGAUGAAGGCCUUCGGGUCGUAAACCCCUUUCAGCAGGAACGAAAUUGACGGUACCUGCAGAAGAAGCCCCGGCCAACUACGUGCCAGCAGCCGCGGUAAUACGUAGGGGGCGAGCGUUGUCCGGAUUCAUUGGGCGUAAAGAGCUCGUAGGCGGCUCGAUAAGUCGGGUGUGAAAUCUCCAGGCUCAACCUGGAGAGGCCAUUCGAUACUGUCGUGGCUAGAGUCCGGUAGGGGACCAUGGAAUUCCUGGUGUAGCGGUGAAAUGCGCAGAUAUCAGGAGGAACACCAGUGGCGAAGGCGGUGGUCUGGGCCGACACUGACGCUGAGGAGCGAAAGCGUGGGUAGCAAACAGGAUUAGAUACCCCGGUAGUCC